rnacentral:rRNA from 1 species
GGGCAAGGAUGGGCGAGCCUGAUCCAGCAAUGCCGCGUGUGUGAGAAGGCCUUCGGGUUGUAAAGCACUUUUGUCCGGAAAGAAAUCCUUGGCUCUAAUACAGUCGGGGGAUGACGGUACCGGAAGAAUAAGCACCGGCUAACUACGUGCCAGCAGCCGCGGUAAUAACGUAGGGUGCAAGCGUUAAUCGGAAUUACUGGGCGUAAAGCGUGCGCAGGCGGUUUGCUAAGACCGAUGUGAAAUCCCCGGG